rnacentral:rRNA from 1 species
AUUAAAUAUUAAUUUAAAUUUAUUAGUUAAUUUAUUUAUAUAUAAAUAAAGUUAUAGAAAUUUAAAUGUUUAAGUAUAUAAAUAUUAAGAAAAAAUUUUUUAUUAAUUGAUUAAUUGUAAAAGAAUAAUUUAAAUAUAAAAAAGAAAAUUUAAUUUAUUGUACCUUUUGUAUCAGGGGUUAUUAAAAUUUAAUAUAAAAAUUUAUAAUUCUCGAAUUAUAAAGAGUUAAUUUAAAAUUAUAGUUAAUGUGGAAAAAUUAUUAUAAAUUUUAAAUUAGAAAUGAAAUGUUAAACGAUUUUUAAGAUAUCUAGUUUUUUAAUAUAAAAAUUUAAUUUUUUUAUAAUUUAAAAUUAUUAAUAAAUUUAAAUUAGUAAUUUAAUUAUAAAUAAUAAUUUAUGGGAUAAUCUAUAAAUUUAAAUUAAAUGAAUUAUUAAUUUUAUAAAAAUUUAGAAAUUAAAAUUUUUAAAAUUAUUAAAUUUUUAAUAAUUUAUUUAUAAGUUGAGUAUAAUUUUAAAAUUUAUUAAUUUAGUAUUAAAAUAGAAAUUUUUAAUUAUUUAAGAAUUAAAAUAAUGAUAAUAUUAGUAUAAUUUUAUGUUAAAUUAAUUUAAUUAAAAAAUUAAUUUAAGGAAUUAGGCAAAAUUUAAAAUUCACUUGUUUAUCAAAAACAUGUUUUUUUGAAAUUAAUAAAAAAUUUUCUCUGCCCAAUGAAAAUUUAAAUGGCCGCAGUAUUUUGACUGUGCAAAGGUAGCAUAAUAAAUAGUUUUUUAAAUGGAGACUAGAAUGAAUGAGAGGAUGAAAUUUUAACUGUCUCAAAUUAAAAAUAAAAGUUUAUUUUAAGUUAAAAUUCUUAAAUAAAUUUAAGGGACGAGAAGACCCUAUAGAAUUUAAAAAUUUUAAUUAAUUUAAUAUAUAAAAUUUUAUUUAAUUAGUAAAAAAUUUUUUUAUUGGGAAGAUAUUAAAAUUUAAUUAACUUUUAAUUAAAAAAUUCAAUAAUAAAUGAAUUAAUGAGAUUAUAUUUUUAAUAAGAAGAAAUUACCUUAGGGAUAACAGCGUAAUAAAUUUUUAAAGUUCAAAUUAAAAAAUUUGAUUGCGACCUCGAUGUUGAAUUAAAAUAAAAUUUAAGUGUAGAAGCUUAAAAUUUAAGUCUGUUCGACUUUUGAAAUUUUACAUGAUUUG